CUUUUCCUAUUGGCACAGCUGCAGGCAUUCACCCAUGCAAGCUUCCAGCUUGCUUAUCUAUGUCUCCAACUCAAUUUUACAGGCUGCUCUUUGUUAGAAAAGAAAUUAUUUUGGGGCUGCUUUUUGUUAAAAGGGAAGCCUUACUGAGGACUCUCUUACUCUCACUAAUCUUCUAAAUAAUGUCUUUUUAGCUCCUGUAUCAACAGGGUCUUGCUCUGUUGCCCAGGAUGUAGUGCAGUGGCACAAUUAUGACUCACCUCCUGGGCUCAAGGGAUCAUCUCACCUCAGCCUCCUCAGUAGCUGGAACCACAGAUGUGUGCCACCACACUUGACCAAGUUUUUAUUUUUUUUUUUAGAGACGGGGGUCUCACUAUGUUGCCCAAGCAGGUCUCGAACUCCUGGGUUCAAGCAGUCCUUCCACCUUAGCUUCCCAAAGUGCUGGGAUUACAGGCAUGGGCAACCACGCCCAGCUAGGGCAAGUGUUUAUUUAAUAGCCCAGGAAUUGGAAAAGCAGAAGGAUGGCUUUGAAACCAAUUUAUCAAUUAGUGAGGGGUGAUGGGGUUAAAAUAUAGGGUUUCUCUAAUGUAAGUGUUGGACAUGAAAAGGAAAGGGAGGAGUAUUCAUGUCUUUUCUGGAAAUGGGCAGAGAUUUCCUGGAAUCUGGAUGCUGCCCUUUUUCCUUCCUUUAAUGGUAAGGUAUUGCCUUUUAUGGCUGCCAGUAGGUGUGCCAGUUGUAUGGUAAUCAGGUUAUGAUGAAGUUAGAGGCUCUUCAGAGGUCAGAUGAGCUGCCAUCUUGGAUCUCCCCUGUUUCUGCUGGUCUGGUCAAGAGGGGGAACUUCUGACUACAGGUAUCCUGUUUGCUGGAGAUGAAGCAGGGUUAGGGUGUCACAGUGAUGUAGCCCAACCUUGCAGCCUUACAAGCACUAGAGAAGGUAACAUCACCAGUAAAGACUUAAAGUAUUUUCCUUAGUCUUUUCAUUUCUCUAAAUAUUUACUGAUUUUGUUGAAGAUGCUAUAAAGGCUGGAAUUCAAAGCCACCUCUUUGAGAACUACUCAUGCUGUGGGUAUCACCCGUGUAGAUAUGAAAUAUACAUGUUAAUACACUUCUGUUUAUUGUUCUCUUGUUAAUCUGUCUUUUUAAAGAUGGCUGUGUUUUAACUAAGAACCUAUGGGGGUGAGAAAAGAAAGUAACUUUUAUCAGAGGAAUGCAAGUCUAGAGAGACAUCACAAUGAGACAGCAGUCAUAUUCUGCUUCUCCCUUUGAGCUACGUAUUCAUCUCUCAAAACUGUUUGCUGUUGCCAUGAGUAGCUAUAAAUUAACUUAAUAAUGCCCUGUCUCACACCAUAACACCUACCUUUUAGCAUAACAAUGUAUAGCCAAUCAUUAAUUGAUGUUAUUUCUGUAAACAACUUUGUACCUUAUUUGUUUUGCCCUUGUUUUGGCUUUGAAAACCUGCUUUGAAAACCUGCUUGUAACAGAGGCCAAAUAUGAACAGAGGAGUUCAUAGCCAAGAUUACUUGGAUCUGAGUCUUUUGGGCAGCUGUCCUCACUUUGGCUCAAGUAAACUCUUUAAAUUA
rnacentral:lncRNA from 1 species